CUCCUACGUUCACCCUCAGCAUCUUAGAGACAGUUUGGAGAGUGAUUUAACCUGUGGAAUCGCAAGUUUUGGGAGGGUGAGACAGUUCACCUGGACUACACAGGGAAAGAUGAACUCGUCUGGUCUCCAUCUGCUCACCAGUCCACCUUUGGAACGUGCAAGCUCUUGGCCUCAUCCUCCCUGACUGAAGAUCAGCCAGAUCGCAUUACCUCCUGACCAAUCAGAUGCCUGGAUCCAUACCUCAUCUCACAGAUGUUGUUGGGAUGCUGUCAUGUUUCCAGAUCUCAACUAUAUUUUAGUUUUUUCUUUAGAAGCCUCUGGAUAUGCACUAAUAAAAUUGUUUUUC